CGGUCUCAGUUCAGAUUGCAGGCUGCAACUCGCCUGCAUGAAGUUGGAAUUGCUAGUAAUCGCGAAUCAGAAUGUCGCGGUGAAUACGUUCCCGGGCCUUGUACACACCGCCCGUCACACCAUGAGAGUCGAUAACACCCGAAGCCUGUGAGCUAACCUUUUAGGAGGCAGCAGUCGAAGGUGGGGUUGAUGAUUGGGGUGAAGUCGUAACAAGGUAAC
rnacentral:rRNA from 1 species